GUUGAAUCGCGUUAUACACUUGUACAUAAAAUAUAACUAACUUAUCAAUCAAUAACAUUUAAUACCACCAUUAAAUUUAAUAAAUGUGCGAAAUAAUUUAAAAUAAUUCCAAUAAUAAAAAUUUUAUUUUAUUUAAUAAUUAUUUAAGUACUGUUUAUCGGACUUUAAAAUUUUUGUGAAAAUUAAAUGCUGGCACAACACCCUAAUUACCAGAAUUGUAGCAAAAAAAACGUAGCACACAACCCAAGUACGCCUCGGUGGUGUGUUAAAAGAUGAAAAUUAAUGUAAAAAAACCAAAGGUUUUCUACAGUAUAUACUGAGACAUAGAAGAUGACAAGCGACGAGCGACAUCUGUCAAAUAUUAAAAUACACGCCUUCUUAUGGGCACAGAUUUUUUGACAACAGCACGACUACGCGACAACAGGCUUAUAGUUGUCGUUGUCGCCAAAUUAGAAAUGCUUCUAAUUUUGCCGACGACAAUGGCCUCUGUAGAGCUGCCACUAACAUGUGAAAUGUAAAAUUAUUCAAAGUUCUCACAAGUAUGACGUUAUUUUGCCAGCAGAAACGUAAAAUAGCUUUGAUAUAUCAUUUAUAAUAACAAUCGAUCAUUUAAAACAAAUAAAUCGUCCAUUUUUACAUUUUUUGCGUAAAUAAUUUCACUUUAAACUAAAAAUGUAAUUUUAUUGAAGUGAAAGAUGUUAGUACGAAAAAAAAAAAAAAUGUUCAAGACGCUGGCUUCAAAGCGACAUUUGUGAUCAGCAGUCGUGUCGUGUCGUCGUCUUUGUAUUCAGCACUUUAUUUUGCGUUUUUUUAUUUUAAUCAGUGAUCUGCAGCCUAAUUUAAGUUUAAAUUAUUGAAUCACACAUUUUUAAAUAAGUAAAACGUAAAAUAAAAGUUUUCUAAAGCCAAAAUAUGGUAUUGAAGAGGGUGAUAAAGUAAUACUUCAUCGCACUGUCAAUUCGAAGCACGUAAUAGAAUCUACGCCCACAAUGUUCAACAUCAAGAACGAAUCCAUUGAAUACGGAAAUAAUAUUAUCUUGCCUUAAAUUCUAUUUAAUUUUCCAUACAGAUAUUUCAAACCUCAUACGACCCGUUAAAGGUAAGCAACCUAAUUGGUGUCACUUAUGGUAGCAGCGUAGAACUUUUGAAGCGAUGGAAUAUGUGCUGCAAGCAAAUCCAGAACUAUGGAUGCAAUAGCUGCUACAUCGAACACAAAUUAUUUACACACCAGAUUUUAGGUUUAAUGUCACUUUUUUUACGUGCAAUUAAACCCUUUGGUCAACACAAACGCGUGAAGAAUUGGAACGACGUGGUUUGGGUGCUUUUGUAACCUUUUAUCAUCGCGAGGUAUGUCAACUGGGUUUUGCCAAUGAGCUAGAGGGCAAAACAGUUCCAGUAUUUUUGAACUUACCGGCACCUCAGUUGGCCGUGCCAUUUGUAGACACACAUGUAUUAACAAUACCAUGAUAAAAGUAUUAUGGUAUCGUGUUUACUACGUACAUGGACACACAGCGAUUUGUAGUAAACUGAAAUACCAACUUUGUUCCACAGACAUCAGAUAUUUCAAAAAAAUGUGAACAAUAAAUAUUUACAUAUGUGUAAUGGAGAAAGCAAUUUUAACAAUUACAAAAAAAUGGCAAAAAUAUGUAUUUUCUGAACAAAGAACAGAAGUAGUUGAAAUGUAUCUUAAAAGCUCGUCGCUACGGCCAUCAAAAUAAGGUGAUACAUGACCCUAGCGUUUGAAAAAAAAAAACUUGUGAAUUUUUUUUGUAUUUUCCAUUAUAUAUAUAUAUAUAUUUGGCGUAGGAACCGCUUUAAGCGAUUAUAGCCGAAUCCACCAGAGCGCGCCACUCAUUCCUCCUUUUUGCUUUUUGGCGCCAACUGGAAACACCAAGUGAAGCCAGGUCACUUUGCACUUGGUCUUUCCACCGGAGUGGAGGUCGUCCUCUUCCGCGGCUUCCUCCAGCGGGUACUGCAUCGAAUACUUUCAGAGCUGGAGUGUUUUCUUCCAUCCGUACAUAUUUAUUUAUUUUUGAAAAGUCAUUUUGACAAAAUAUUUUAAAAUGCUUUUGUAUAUAAGCUCUCUCCCAGGUUUCUUAUCUAUUUUUAGCUGUGUUUAGUGAAAUACCACAAAAAAAUGCUGAUAUUGUUACCAGCAAAAUACUACAUUGCUCACAUGGUAAAGUGCUAGUAUUUGGUGACACACAUCUGGUACGAACAAUAGUAUUGUUACUAUAUGUGUGUCUCGGGUAUAAGAAACCCUCCUCCCAGAAAUUGGAUGAAUCUAGUACUAGUGAAAUUAAUGAAAGAACAGAUCUUACAAAAACUCCUAAAGAAACUAAAAGAAUCCUCACAUAAUGUGCGCAGCUUACACUUCCAGACCGCUCGGGGUAUUUGACAUUUGCCACUCUCCCUCCAGCCUUUGUCAUAUAGCAAAAAUUGUUCAACUAUUCAAUACGUUUUACAUAUGUAUAUAGUGUAGUACGAUAAUACAUGUAUAACGUAAAUAUAAUAAUAAACCCCUAAAUUGGAUGAUAUUUUCAAUAAA